rnacentral:rRNA from 1 species
AGCGAACGCUGGCGGCAGGCCUAACACAUGCAAGUCGAACGAACCUUUCGGGGUUAGUGGCGGACGGGUGAGUAACACGUGGGAACGUGCCUUUAGGUUCGGAAUAACUCAGGGAAACUUGUGCUAAUACCGAAUGUGCCCUUCGGGGGAAAGAUUAAUCGCCUUUAGAGCGGCCCGCGUCUGAUUAGCUAGUUGGUUGAGGUAAUGGCUCACCAAGGCGACGAUCAGUAGCUGGUCUGAGAGGAUGAUCAGCCACAUUGGGACUGAGACACGGCCCAAACUCCUACGGGAGGCAACAGUGGGGAAUCUUGCGCAAUGGGCGAAAGCCUGACGCAGCCAUGCCGCGUGAAUGAUGAAGGUCUUAGGAUUGUAAAAUUCUUUCACCGGGGACGAUAAUGACGGUACCCGGAGAAGAAGCCCCGGCUAACUUCGUG